rnacentral:rRNA from 1 species
CGUGAGCGGCGGACGGGUGAGUAACGCGUGGGUAACCUGCCUCAUACAGGGGGAUAACAGUUGGAAACGGCUGCUAAUACCGCAUAAGCGCACAGUACCGCAUGGUACGGUGUGGAAAACUCCGGUGGUAUGAGAUGGACCCGCGUCUGAUUAGGUAGUUGGUGGGGUAACGGCCUACCAAGCCGACGAUCAGUAGCCGACCUGAGAGGGUGACCGGCCACAUUGGGACUGAGACACGGCCCAA